rnacentral:rRNA from 1 species
UACGGAGGUCUCAAGCGUUGUUCGGAUUCAUUGGGCGUAAAGGGUGCGUAGGCGGCGCGGUAAGUCGGGUGUGAAAUCUCGGGGCUUAACUCCGAAACUGCAUUCGAUACUGCCGUGCUUGAGGACUGGAGAGGAGACUGGAAUUUACGGUGUAGCGGUGAAAUGCGUAGAUAUCGUAAGGAAGACCAGUGGCGAAGGCAGGUCUCUGGACAGUUCCUGACGCUGAGGCACGAAGGUCAGGGGAGCAAACGGG